GACGAACGCUGGCGGCGUGCUUAACACAUGCAAGUCGAACGGAAAGGCCCUGCUUUUGUGGGGUGCUCGAGUGGCGAACGGGUGAGUAACACGUGAGUAACCUGCCCUUGACUUUGGGAUAACUUCAGGAAACUGGGGCUAAUACCGGAUAGGAGCUCCUGCUGCAUGGUGGGGGUUGGAAAGUUUCGGCGGCUGGGGAUGGACUCGCGGCUUAUCAGCUUGUUGGUGGGGGAGUGGCUUACCAAGGCUUUGACGGGUAGCCGGCCUGGGAGGGUGACCGGCCACAUUGGGACUGAGAUACGGCCCAGACUCCUACGGGAGGCAGCAGUGGGGAAUAUUGCACAAUGGGCGGAAGCCUGAUGCAGCAACGCCGCGUGCGGGAUGACGGCCUUCGGGUUGUAAACCGCUUUCGCCUGUGACGAAGCGUGAGUGACGGUAAUGGGUAAAGAAGCACCGGCUAACUACGUG
rnacentral:rRNA from 1 species